rnacentral:misc_RNA from 1 species
GUAGGUGAACCUGCGGAAGGAUCAUUAUUGAAUUUAGUUGUCUGGCUUUCGCCGACGACGAUAUCAUUAUCCAUAACACCUGUGCACUGUUGGAUGUUUAAUACAUCCGUUUUACACUAAACAAUAUUGUUACAAAUGUAGUCUUAUUAUAACAUAAUAAAACUUUCAACAACGGAUCUCUUGGCUCUC